rnacentral:rRNA from 1 species
UGGUGGGUAGUUUGACUGGGGCGGUCUCCUCCUAAAGAGUAACGGAGGAGCACGAAGGUUGGCUAAUCCUGGUCGGACAUCAGGAGGUUAGUGCAAUGGCAUAAGCCAGCUUGACUGCGAGCGUGACGGCGCGAGCAGGUGCGAAAGCAGGUCAUAGUGAUCCGGUGGUUCUGAAUGGAAGGGCCAUCGCUCAACGGAUAAAAGGUACUCCGGGGAUAACAGGCUGAUACCGCCCAAGAGUUCAUAUCGACGGCGGUGUUUGGCACCUCGAUGUCGGCUCAUCACAUCCUGGGGCUGAAGUAGGUCCCAAGGGUAUGGCUGUUCGCCAUUUAAAGUGGUACGCGAGCUGGGUUUAGAACGUCGUGAGACAGUUCGGUCCCUAUCUGCCGUGGGCGCUGGAGAACUGAGGGGGGCUGCUCCUAGUACGAGAGGACCGGAGUGGACGCAUCACUGGUGUUCGGGUUGUCAUGCCAAUGGCACUGCCCGGUAGCUAAAUGCGGAAGAGAUAAGUGCUGAAAGCAUCUAAGCACGAAACUUGCCCCGGGAUGAGUUCUCCCUGAGACUUAGAGUC